rnacentral:rRNA from 1 species
GACGAACGCUGGCGGCGUGCUUAACACAUGCAAGUCGAACGGAAAGGCCCUGCUUUUGUGGGGUGCUCGAGUGGCGAACGGGUGAGUAACACGUGAGUAACCUGCCCUUGACUUUGGGAUAACUUCAGGAAACUGGGGCUAAUACCGGAUAGGAGCUCCUGCUGCAUGGUGGGGGUUGGAAAGUUUCGGCGGUUGGGGAUGGACUCGCGGCUUAUCAGCUUGUUGGUGGGGUAGUGGCUUACCAAGGCUUUGACGGGUAGCCGGCCUGAGAGGGUGACCGGCCACAUUGGGACUGAGAUACGGCCCAGACUCCUACGGGAGGCAGCGGUGGGGAAUAUUGCCCAAUGGGCGGAAGCCUGAUGCAGCCACGCCGCGUGCGGGAUGACGGCCUUCGGGUUGUAAACCGCUUUCGCCUGUGACGAAGCGUGAGUGACGGUAAUGGGUAAAGAAGCACCGGCUAACUACGUG